UAACAAGGAUUUUCUUUUGUUUUAAAUGUAGGUUUUGGCCCGAACCGCGACUUCAACAAAAAAUAAGAGAAGAAAGGAAUAUUUUCUAGCUGUGCAAAUCCUCUCUCUAGAGGAAAAGUUAAGUGUUGUGUUGUUUUAAUACUGUUUUUUCCCGUGUAGAUUUCUGAUACUUCAAUCCCCUACUCCCCCAAAACAGUUGAAGCCCAGCCCACUCUUAAUGGGCUUAUUCACCAUUUGUGUAAUUCAUUAAUGCUCAUAAUAACCUCAUGAGAAAGCAACUAGUUUGAUUUUAUGUCAGUUUGGAAGCUGAAGAUCCAAACGAGGCAUUCUGUGAGAUCUAUGGAGAGAUUGGUACAAACACUGAAUACAUGUAAAUUAUACUCAGGGUAGACCCUAUUUGUGGUUAAAAUAGGGAUAUUUCCUUUUUUUUUUUUUUUUUUGACUGUUUCUUAAUCAGUGCCAUGCCAGGAAAAUAGGGAUGUUUCCUUCCCAGAGAUCUGUGUGUCUUUUUUCAGAAACGUCUGUGACAGGCCCAUCAAUUUUGAAAUAUUUGGUUUUUGAGCCUGUCACUCUAAACCAGCGUUUAACGUUCAAAAGGCAAAUAACUGAUGACCAGGCGGCACAUUGUUCUGCUCCGUGAGUGUCUGGCACUGGGAAAGGUGUAGAUUGUCUAGAAUGACAGCAAUUCCGACGCCCCAGUCAGUCCUGCGUGAUUGUGGCGAGGGCGCGUCUGGCACCGGGAAGGUGUAGAUCAUCUAGAAUGACGGCGAUUCCGACGCCCCGGUCAGUCCUGCGUGAUUGGCGAGGGUGCAUCUGUCGUGAGAAUUCCCAGUUCUGAAGAGAGCAAGGAGACUGAUCCCGCGUAGUCCAAGGCAUUGGCUCCCCUGUUGCUCUUCCUUGUGGAGCUCCCCCUGCCCCACUCCCUCCUGCCUGCAUCUUCAGAGCUGCCUCUGAAGCUCGCUUGGUCCCUAGCUCACACUUUCCCUGCGGCUGGGAAGGUAAUUGAAUACUCGAGUUUAAAAGGAAAGCACAUCCUUUUAAACCAAAACACACCUGCUGGGCUGUAAACAGCUUUUAGUGACAUUACCAUCUACUCUGAAAAUCUAACAAAGGAGUGAUUUGUGCAGUUGAAAGUAGGAUUUGCUUCAUAAAAGUCACAAUUUGAAUUCAUUUUUGCUUUUAAAUCCAGCCAACCUUUUCUGUCUUAAAAGGAAAAAAAAAAAAAAACCAUUCACCAGGGUUCUUGCUGCCUGUAACCUCAGGCAGAUGAAUUCCUAGUUGGCUGUGACUUUUGGUUUAAGUGGAAGGUUGAGGAGGAAAAUGAAAAUAAUUCUUUUGUUAUCUAAAGGAAAACAUGUUUGAAAAUGUCUUGGCGGCGUUGGCUGGUGGUGUGUAACGUCGAUUUUGUCUCUGCAGAAUUAAGGUGAAAAGCACUGAAGUUGAGAUCCUAGAGAAGUCUCAAAUUGAAGCCAUUGCUUCCUCGUUAGGGAACGCGAAUCCCCUGAGCUGAAGGAGAAGGAAAAAUGGAUCCGCUUUCUUAAACCUUUCCAGAAUUUGCCCCUAGAACCACUCCUAUUCUUGACGCCCAGAAUGGUCAGUGCCUCACAGAAUGAGGUUCCUGCGGCACCCCUGGAAGAACUGGCCUACAGACGGUCGCUUCGCGUGGCUCUGGACGUUCUGAGCGAGGGCUCGAUUUGGAGUCAAGAAAGCUCUGCAGGGACAGGUAGAGCUGACCGGUCUCUGCGAGGGAAGCCCAUGGAGCAUGUCUCCUCGCCCUGUGAUUCGAACUCCUCAUCUCUUCCCCGCGGAGACGUGUUGGGCAGUUCCAGACCUCACAGGAGGAGGCCAUGUGUGCAACAAAGCCUGUCAAGUUCGUUCACUUGUGAAAAGGACCCCGAGUGCAAAGUGGACCACAAGAAGGGGCUCAGGAAAAGUGAAAACCCAAGAGGCCCGUUGGUCCUCCCAGCUGGAGGUGGUGCCCAAGAUGAGAGUGGGUCCAGAAUCCACCACAAAAAUUGGACUCUUGCAAGUAAGAGGGGAGGAAACUCAGCGCAGAAGGCUAGCUUGUGCCUGAAUGGAUCUUCCCUUUCAGAGGA
rnacentral:lncRNA from 1 species